AACCUUUUGUGGUUGGUAAGUAUGAGAACAGGGUGUGUGUGCAACUGAGUGACAUGUGCCUCCCUUAAGUCUUAUUAUGACAUGUAUACAUGACCUGUCAUAGA